AAAAAUGAAAAAAAUAAAAAGUAAGAGACAGGGAAAAAAAUGUGUGUAUCAGCCAGGAACUUAGUUGUGAACAAUAUAAUCCACUCUUAUUAUUUUAAGGAAAAAGGAAUUUAUUAGGUGGCUUAUAGAAUUUCUUGCAGGACCAGUAAGCUAGGGUUAGAUAAUGUGCUGUAGCCGGAAGAAAUAAUCAACCACCCAAGGGAUAUUCUGGUGGAAAUCACUGAUGCAGUUGCCCAUCACUCUGCACCAGUGACACCAGGGACCAGAGAGUGCAAACUCUGCUAAAGAUACCGAGGGGAGGCAUGCUUUGGCUACCCCACUUGCAAAGAAAGUUGAGCUCCCUGAACAGAUGCAGCCACAUGCUACCAUGAAGGAAGAAGAGACCAAUGCAAAGCCGGGGCUUCCUCCUUCACUGUAGCAUGUGGCUACAUCUGCUCAGCAGAACCUAGGCUGUAUCCAGAAGCAGGCAUCAGGGGAAUCUCUCUAACUCUCCUAUCUCUGCUGUGGAAAAAGGAAAAAGAGACUGGAAGGGAUGUUGAAGGAGUCUGUGCAUAGAAUCUGUUACAAUAGUUUCCAUUUGAGGAGAAAGGCCGAUGCAUACUUUAAGCUCUCACAUGGAAAAUUCUGGGAGGCUAGUUCAGGACCUGUCAUAGCUACAUGGCUGGGCUCUUGGAUUUCAGCCUGAGUCAGCUAUGGGUUCCUGCUACAACAGGUAAGCUCUGAAGUGCUUCCUACCUGAGGCAAUUUUUUGUUUCCCCAUUGCAUAUCUGACUUUCACCCACUGCUGCAUUUUAACUUCCAAAUUCUCCUUGGUCUCUGUUCCUAUUUAUCUGCCUGAAUUUUAAGCUCAGUUUUAUAUUCACCCCCAUUUCUUCCUGAUCCCUACCUCUUCCCUGCAAACAGAUAGUUGCUUCGCUGCUUCAUCUAACAUUUGGCUUUUAUCCAGUCCCUUGUCUUGCUCACUAUCUUCCCUAGACAUUGGCUGAAUCUCCUGCUUAUCUUCAUCUCAAUACACAUGGCUCUGCCUCAGCUACAGACCAAAAGAAAUGGGGCUCUGGGAAUGGGGUUAUAUGGAAAAUUGGAAAAAUGAAUGCUCAAUGAGGACAAUUGAAGGCAGGGGUGCUCUUUGGCUGACUGGAGAGCAGCUCAUAUUGGGAGCAUGAAAGGGCCUAUGUAAGCAAAAGAAAAAAGAAAGGUCUUUAUAAGGAAGGUAAGGUAAACACUACAAUAUACCAAAAGCCAAGAUCUCCUGACAUCUUAGAUAGACUUAGAUGUUAUGACACAGAGUGUUAAAAGUAAAUUAGACAGCUCAAAGUUGAUUUCUUUUCCAUAAAAAUCCAAGCUGAUAUUGUAGCUCUUCUCCUCAAAAUUGUCAAGAGUCCAGGCUUCAAUGCAUUCUUCCAACUCACAAUGUCCACCAUCUUGUCCAACAAGAAUAAGGAAUUGGAAAGGAGAGGGUACACACUUCCCUUUGGAGGCACAACCCAGAUAUUGCACAGUACACCUCUUCUGUAUCCAGUGAGCCAGAAAGCAGUCAUCGGGCCCCACUAAGCUGCAAGGGUAGCUGCGAAAUAGGGCUUCUGCUAGCUAUGUAGCCAGCUAGAACUUCUGUUCAUAUGUAAAAAGGAAAGAAUGAAGAUCGGAGGAUAACUAGCCCUCUCUGCCACACUUAGUGUGGUGUGACUAGGCCACUGGAGAAGUUCUCGAGGAAAGAGUGCUACUGUCUCACAGAAUGAGGCUGAACAGGAGGGUCUUCUCCGGAGGAAGUCUGAAGCAAGAGAGCCAAUGCCUUCCUAGAAAACAUCAUAGUUACUGACAUGCACAGUCCUUUCAUAUGGGAUUAAAGGCAUAUGAGCGAAUGCAAGGUGACAUUGCACCACCAGUCUCCAUUCACCCAACAUCUGCCCCAAUUCACAGCCUGGAGUGAGAGCCUAUGGAGCACUUCAGAGCUCUGCAUCUGGUCACACAGGUCCAGGUUCAAAUCUCAGCUCUCCAGUCAACCACCUGUGUGCACUUGAGGAAUUUGCCCUUCCUCCCUAUGCUUCCUGCAAUAGUUUGAAUAUUCCACCUCUCCAAUCUCAUGUUGAAAUU
rnacentral:lncRNA from 10 species